rnacentral:rRNA from 1 species
UCGGAUUGUAGGCUGAAACUCGCCUACAUGAAGCUGGAGUUGCUAGUAAUCGCGAAUCAGCAUGUCGCGGUGAAUACGUUCCCGGGCCUUGUACACACCGCCCGUCACACCAUGAGAGUUGGCAAUACCCAACGUACGUGAUCUAACCCGCAAGGGAGGAAGCGUCCUAAGGUAGGGUCAGCGAUUGGGGUGAAGUCGUAACAAGGUAGC